ACCAGCAUGUGCAAACCUAAUUGGCGCAAAAAAGGUGAAAGAGAUCCAUUGUUGUGUUUUGCGUUGCAAUCUAGAAAAUGAGCUGUCCAUUGCUAAUUCUCUUAUAGACACAUACUCCAAGUCUGGGGGAUUACAAUACUCGAAAACAAUAUUUGAUGUGAUGUCAACCAAAGAUAUCAUUUCUUGGAACACAUUGAUUGCUGGUUAUGUUUUACAUGGCUUUUCCAGUGAGUCAACAAAGUUAUUUCAUCAAAUGGAAGAGG
rnacentral:misc_RNA from 1 species